GAGGAGGACCGGACUGCAGCGCCGUCCCUGAAUUAUUGGGGAUGAGUGAGGAAAGUCCGGACUUCGUAGAGCAGAGUGCUGGCUAACGGCCAGGCGGGGAAACCCGACGGAAAGUGCAACAGAAAAUACAAAGCCUAAGGCGAAAGUCCGGCAAUGGUGAAAUCGUGAGGUAAGAGCUCACGGGCGUCCGUGGCGACACGGCGUUUGGCAAACCCCACUCGAAGCAAGACCAAAUAGGGGCGAAGGAUUGGCUCGAUCCGCUCGACGCUCGGGUUGGUUGCAAGGACCCUGCCGGCAACGGUUUGGGCAAGAGAAAUUGUAGUCGUCGACAGAAUCCGGCUUACAGGUUCUCCUCGCAU
rnacentral:RNase_P_RNA from 1 species